rnacentral:tRNA from 1 species
GCGGAUGUGGUGGAAUGGUAGACACGGUGUCUUUAGAAGUCACUGCGAAAGCGUGAGAGUUCGAGUCUCUCCAUCCGUA